CCUAAUUGCACCUGUAAAUCGCUCUGGAUAAGAGCAUCUGCUAAAUGACAAAAA
rfam:Salmo salar isolate Sally breed double haploid chromosome ssa13, whole genome shotgun sequence.